AGGAUGGACGCUACAAUGGCAAUCACAAGCAGAAAUUGAUCCCAAAGUGCGACAGGAGGCCUGGCGCUCUCUAGACUUCCCCACCGAAGCCAUCACUGCUGAUGCCUUCAUUGGAGAUGACCAUCUUGAAGCUCCUCCUAGCGAUAGAGUCUAGCAUCCUGGCCGGCGUUGUAGCGUGGCGUCCCCCACACCCGUGGUGUUCGGUGGUGGGACUACGAGGCGCAACUAUGAGAGCUGAGCACCAGCCCUGGCCCAAAGCCAUUCUUCUCCUAUUUCCCAUCUCAAGAGUGAUCUGACUUGAUUAGUACUUCAGCUUCGAAUACAGACAUGGCUCAGUUCAGUUGCAGCUAUGUAUGCAUUACUUGCAAGAUCAUAGGUGGAGGUUACUGAAAGAACAAAGAAACGAUUGUUCUACUUAUUCAGGCCUUGACCUUGGAGAGUCCCAAGACGACCUCGGAUGCCACUGGCAGUCAGACAUCACUGGCUGUUUGGAACAUUCCACUUUACAAUGCUAAUGGAGAUGCAUCUGAAACGACAUACAUUUUUUAUGAGAUCAUUCCUAAGAAUAUAUGGAUGCACCUUCAAAUCGGGAGAAUUUGCUUCAAAAGAUACAAGAGUUUUGUCCUGAAUUGUGUGACUAAUUUACAUGAGCUUCAGGUAGUUUCGUUGGAUAGAUUCUAGGGAAGAAUAAUGGUGAAGCCAGCUUUGUAUCUAUAGGGGUACGAGAGGAAUCCGCAAGUAAUCAAGGUUAGCUUGGACUACAAGUGGGGAAAGAAGGAUUAGUUUUCUUGGAAAA